rnacentral:lncRNA from 1 species
AAUCUUUCAGCUUUCCAUAGACCCCAUUUUCUCACCAGAAAUUAUGUUCUUUGGGUGGGGAAGCAUUCUUAUUUAAUCUACUAACCCAGACCAGAAUGUGAUAAGAAAUACUGUUACUCUUGUAAGAGUAAUAGAAAUGAAUAAAAAUGCAUUUUAAAAGGCACCUUCUGGAGCUGCAUUCACUUGAAUCAAAGGCUGACCCUGCAGGGUUGGCACGGCAGCAGCUGCUAGAGGAGCGGUUCUGGAGCAAAUGGGCAUAUUCCCCUUUCUGACCCUGCCAAAUAUAAGACCUUCAGCCUACUCCAUCCAAGGCAUCCAUCUGUCUUCAGAAGAGAUUAGAAUUUUGUUCUGAAGCCAUGCAAAGAGUAAGACCAAGUGCUAACAUCCAAUUUGCAUGUGCCGGGAGAGAAAAUUCUUCAUGGAUCUCUGGUGCUCCUACACAUCUCACUGGUUGGGGGAACUAUGGAGAACACUCAGAGACUAAGCAUCUUACCAAGCCAGAUACUAAUAAAAAUGGACUGAACUGGUGCUGAAACUCAAGACUUGUGAUUAGUAUAGCUCAGUGUUCUUUCCACUAUAGGGAUGCACUCAACUACAGCAUUAUAACUUUUGGCAGUUUAUUACACCGCAAUGAUGUAGGCUGAGGUAGUUGGGCCAGUUUUCUCUUUCAAUUGACACUUUUUUUUUUUUUGGAAAGCUGGAGGAGAGAAUGAGAUAAUAUAUUGUAAAAAGGCAUUUUGAGAUGAAAAGGAAAUAAUUUGAAGUAGUUUAUUCCACAUGACCUAGAUCAGUCCUGUAAAAUAUUAGCUAGUAGUAUCUGCUCAGAAUGACGAGAGUGUGAUUAUGUUCCCUGGGCAAUUUGAUUGUGAGUUAACAACGUAAAGAAACGAAUGACAAAAACAACCACAGAAUUCAACCAGCAUUUUUAUCCAUCUCUUCAGACUAAGGACACCCAGUGGACUCUUGAAGGCUGGUACCCCUGAAAAGCAAGACAUCAGUUUCACUGUCAGCUGGAUGCCAAAGAAGUGCAAACAAAGCAGCAUGUGCCCCAUAUAAACUGGCCCACAGUGCCGCAGAUCCUAGGAACUUGAAGGAGCCAACAGCAGUAGCAACAACAAAACAGCAUUAAGACUACAUUCCCCCUGCCAGCUCCAUUCCCAAACAUGUAUGGAAAAGCCCCUACUUCUACAAGCCCCCAGUCCCUCUGGAGAAUGCUUUCAUUUGAUUGCCUCAGUAUUGAAACUCUUCAAUAAUAGCAUCCAUCAUUGUCAGGUUUCUGGAGGUAAAACUGCUGUGUGAUGAUCAUGUUGGUUGAAAGAAGAUUGAAUUGAGACUACAGAACCCAUCUGUUGCCUUCCAGUCUCCUAGGAGGAAUUUCACGUGAUUCUACUCAUUUCCUUUGGACCUAGCUAGAUUACUACUGCUGUAUAAUAAUGGGCAACUGUUGCUUUAAAGCACAAACUUUUGAUGCUUUUUAUAAUCCCUAUUAGUGAUAGGUCCUAUAGAACAAUAAUCAGUGGAAAUUAUAUAUAUGUAUUUGGUAGGAUCUCAUAAGAAUUUACAUAGGAAAGAUUGAGUCCUUUAAUCUUACAUAGGAAAGAUUGAGUCCUUUAAUCUUUGAGUUUUAGAAAGUUGUAAUAAGUAAUUUAUCAUAAUGAUCUAUUGUCUAGAGUCUUUUGAAGGGUAAUAUAAACACUAAAUCUAUUUGUGACUUUAAAACACCUUUUGGUCCUAUCCAGAAUGACAGGCUGGUGGAGCUAGAAGUCAAGUUAGAACUGUGACAAAUGAAUUCAAGAAACCUUUCUAUCCAGACCCUAUUCUAUUUGGCAGUAAAAUUAGAAGACAUAUUAGGCAGAAAAGAAACGGUUGUUUCUAUCAAUUUAUCUAACCUCCUUCCAUUGCAAAAGAUGACAGGUAACUACUACUUUUCCACAAAUGCGUUUCCCUACUCCACUCCUGGCCCACACCAAAUUCUUGUAGAAAGGCUUGGCAUACAAAUUGUUGGUUAACAACUAGACUAUCUUUCUAGUUGUUCAGAGGGAACUGAAAAUCUUUUUGUAGAGUGUUUUAUUAGAUUUUCAUCUGGAAAAAUUCACUGUUCCAUUUUUUUAACUGCAAUGGUGAAAGAGGAAUUUUGCUGAUUCAGACCUGCUUUUUAAAGAAUUACCUUCAUUUAUUGACCCUUAGAAGGAACAUUCACUGAAUUCAAUGAUUUAUUCAACUAAGAAAAUUUCUUUAGGAUCUACCAUGUGGCAGGAACCUUGCUAGAUGCUAAGGGUAAAGGGAUGAACAAGGUAGAAAUGGCCUCUGUCCUCAGGAGCUAAACUCUAGCACACCAAAUAACAGAAUCUCCUGGAGGCAUAUCCUCUACCAUCCUCUCAGAAUAUUCACAACUAGUUCUUUCUUUCAGAAGAUGAUUAAAAAUGAAGCUUUAACUUUUCUUGGAACAAGCUGAGGUAAACAUAAAUAGAUCAAUUUAAAAUACACUAUCAUACAUAAGCAUUCUCACAUUAACAUCUUUUAAAACCUCUAAACACUUCUGUGAGAAAUAAACAUAUUUCUUGCCUUUAGUAUGAUGUUCAUGAAGCUGAAGAAGUGAUUUUAAGGACUCAGCACUCUCAAACUCAUGAGUAUUCUGGAGGAAAUCUUCAGCUUGGUCUAUUUUAAUAGCAAACUACAAUAGAAAUACAGAGGAAAGACAUUUGACAUUUGUAUAAAAAUUAACGUGCCAUUGUUAGUUACCUGGAGAUGUUUUUCAUAAAUUAGUAGCCCAACUGAGGAUGUGUGAUUAUGCAAGUGCAUAUGUUUGUAUGUGUUUGUGUGUGUUUUGGCUUACAGUGUUUGCAUGAGGGUGUGUGUUUGCAUGUGGUCAAUUUACAAAGUGUCAUUGGUAAGAACUUUCUUCUCCUUUCAUACCUAAUUAUAUAGGCUGAAAUAAACCAACCUGUUUACUGUCCAAAUGCCUAUUAAAUUUUUCAACCAAAAUUAUAGUGUCCUAUGUAUACAGUCACUUUCAACAUUCUAAGGCACUUAGUUAAGAAUAAGCAGAAAGUUAGCUAAGGGAAACCAAGAAAAGGUUAACUAAAAAGCAGUCUAUACAUUUACAAGUAAAUGUAGCUUAGGAACUCACUUAGAGAGAAGGUAGAAGUAUAGUUAUUUUUUCCCUCUAAAAUUGAACUUAGCAGUGAAAUAUGCAAGUUUCUGAAUAAUACAUAGUCUAAUCCAAUAUUUUAUACAAAGCAAAAAAAUAUAUAUUUGUAUAGAAAUUGGUCUCAAAAAAUACACACCAAAUGGUGACUUAAUGAGAAGAAAUGAAAUUAAGGAUGAGUGAGAGGAGGUAAAAUUUUAAUAUUUAAAUCUAUAAUUUGUAAUUCUGUUUGCAUUUUUAUCAAUAAUUUGUAUGCAUUACAUCUAUAAAUAAAAUGAGAUUAGAUGGAGCAAGAAUGACAAGUGAGAAAUUUAUUCCCUGUUUCAAGGAAAAUGCAUAGUAAUUUCACACUCUAAAUGGUGAGGAAUAUAACUGGUCUGUCUUUUUUCUUUUUCUCCAUAGAGGCAGUGGGAGAUUGA